UCAUCCUUUUGCUGAUAGGUCUGCCCUAGCUGUAAAAUGCCUGCUUUAAAUUUUUAAUGUCUAACUUAUCCACUCAAAUUAUAGUCCAUGCACUCUAACAUCUCAUGGAUGAAAACCAGGGCACACACAGACAAGCAACAUCAGAGUGUGGUCAAAGUUAUUAAUGGGGAAGAAUAGACAAGUUAGGAGAGGCGGCAACAAUUUUCUAUUGCCUCAGUCCACUGUUUAGGAACAAAAUUCUGCCAUCAGCUUUUGUGGAGUUGACCAAGUGAAAAUUCUUUUAGCACUUUGCACUCAGGCCCCCAUUUACACUGCCAUUAUAAUGCAGAUUGAACUGAAUUAUAUGGCAACGUAGAUGGGGCCUCAAUUUGCAGAAAUUGAAGAAAGUUAAGAAGAAAGAGGGAAAGUGAAAGGUGGACAGAGAAACUGGGACAUUUUUAAAACAACUGAAAAGUAGGAUUAAUAAUCAGAACUGCCCCUGUCAAAUAAUGGUUGGUGAGUAUGAAUGUUUCUAGUUAAGGUAGGAAGCAAGAAAUUAACAUACUUUUCCCUAUACUUUUCCAUAACAUUUUUGCUUUCUUAAACCGGUGUUCAUGACUAUCUGUACCAAAUGCUUUAAUUUAGGCUUACCAUGAACCUCUAUGGAAUAGACUAGGCUAAAGCAACAUUAAUUACAUAGACCACUCCACAUUAGACAUGCUGGGGACUCUUGCCAGGUCACAUUAUCUAGCGGGGACUAGAGGGAAACAUUAGCACAGGCAUGCUUCUUUUAUACUGUUAUUUUUAUGUGAAAUACUUCCAGGAUUUUAAUACAGAUACUGUGUAUGUGUUGACUUCUGCUUUCUAAAUUCAUAGUGCAUGAGGCUGCCUAGAGGGCACUGUGUUUGGUAAAAUGUUUUACUAUAGCAGGAAAAGGCAUUUACAAAGGUAAUCUCUGAUUUGUUUAUAAAGUAUAUUUAAAAUAAAAUUCAAUAGGCUUAUUCUUUUUUUAUUUUAGGAGACUAAUGGCCUAGUUACCAGAGGCCCCGUGUUCCUCAUGAAACACAAAGAGAAGAACAAGCCUAAACAUGGUCAAAAAGAAUGCAAGCAAGUCAAGGAGACCAGCACCCAAGAAAACA